rnacentral:rRNA from 1 species
AUUGAACGCUGGCGGCAGGCCUAACACAUGCAAGUCGAGCGGAUGAAGGGAGCUUGCUCCUGGAUUCAGCGGCGGACGGGUGAGUAAUGCCUAGGAAUCUGCCUGGUAGUGGGGGAUAACGUCCGGAAACGGGCGCUAAUACCGCAUCCGUCCUGAGGGAGAAAGUGGGGGAUCUUCGGACCUCACGCUAUCAGAUGAGCCUAGGUCGGAUUAGCUAGUUGGUGGGGUAAAGGCCUACCAAGGCGACGAUCCGUAACUGGUCUGAGAGGAUGAUCAGUCACACUGGAACUGAGACACGGUCCAGACUCCUACGGGAGGCAGCAGUGGGGAAUAUUGGACAAUGGGCGAAAGUCUGAUCCAGCCAUGCCGCGUGUGUGAAGAAGGUCUUCGGAUUGUAAAGCACUUUAAGUUGGGAGGAAGGGAAGUAAGUUAAUACCUUGCUGUUUUGACGUUACCAACAGAAUAAGCACCGGCUAACUUCGUG